CGUUAAGCAGGCAAGACCUGGGCAAUUCAAAAAAAGAGUUAAAGUUAAUGUGCCUGACUGGCAAUUUUUAGUGAGACAUUUGAUUCGGGAAGCAAUGGUGGAUGUGUUUGGCUAAAGUGAUGAGACAGCCAACUAAAAAAGCCUUGUCCUAAAUCCUGGAAUCAGCAAAGUGGUUGUGAUGGAGUAAACAGGUGAUGAUUUUGAGAUCGGCCUUUCAUUCCAAUACCAAAUCCUUGGUGAUGGAUACUAUUGGGAGUACCAGUGAUUAGGUGGCCCAGACUGAGGAUGGUAGAUUCUGCUUCGGAGUGGCCAGUAUUCUACUGGCAGGCACAACAUUUGUCCGGACAAACCACCAAAUUCUGCAUGUCGUCGUGGGAUACCCUGAUACACUGACGCUCACCCCACAAUAGGAUUAAGUAUUAAACCAUAGCCGUAAGUAAUAAACUAAUCCCCUUGAUGUAAAAUUUAUGCUUUAGAUUUUGCUAUGCGAUGACUCGUUAAUAUUCUUCGAUGGGUUACCUUAUACUUGUACCCGGUAGGUUGAAGAUUGGUCCCUGUGGUGAG